UUUUUUUUUUGGGAAAAUAAGAGAGAGAGCGUGGCACGGAAGAGGGAGAAGCAUAAGCGCAGACAUAGAAAGAAAACAGGAGAGGAAAAGGUGUUUUUGUAAGUUGAAACCGUGAAAACUGUAAAGGCAAGUGAGCUGAGAGUUUGCUUACUUUAGGUGGUUAUUUUCUAGCCACGGAGGUAACAAGUUUACCCUGCUAGCUCCUGUUUUAGCGUAGUGCGCUUUCAUGACACGUGUUUAGUGUGCAAUUUGCUAACUGCAAGCGUAAGUGACUAACUAAGCAGCCAAGACUGCCACUGAAGUGCAACGUAGCGCACAGUUGACGCUGUGAAUACGGCGUGCAGUUGAACUUCUGAUGUAGACGCCAGAAUAGGCCAAAAGGGCCUGCGUGCAUAGUGUGGAGAAGUUUACAGACACCGUGGACGGCCUGUGCGACAGAAAAGUGGAGUGGCUAAACAGUGAAGGUCAUAGGAGGGUCCUUUGGACAAGCGUGGACGUAAAUAUCCGUCUUUUCGACAUCGGGUGCUAUUUCAUCAGUGCCCUGCCAUUCGUCGACUUCUGCCAGUGACUCCUCUCAACCAAUCUUCUGGAGAUUAAGAUCAAACACUGCUUACCUCAAGGCUCACGUCCAUAGCAGCAGAAAAUGGAUUACCUCGACUAUUUCAACGACGAUCAGAGACCACCACCAAGACCAGAAAGAAGAUUGCUUAAAGACAGGAGCAACCCACUGAAUGAUUUUGAUGAUUUACAUUUUCUUGACUGUUUCUGUAUGUCGAAGGAAAAUGCAACAGAAAAAAUUGGUUUGCUGCAGCCCAAGCUUUCAGACAACUCAAGAUGAAGAAUGUUCUUUUAAAUAUUGUGAUUCAUGGAACUCUAUGGCAAGUUUCUCAUGAAUGGUCAUCCUUCUCCUUGGAUUAGAGACUGCUGAAUGCUGACCAAUGCUACUGCAGGAGACUAGAUGCUGCAGCAUGUUCAUGCUGGCUGCUGCUGGAUUCG